AUUGAACGCUGGCGGCAGGCCUAACACAUGCAAGUCGAGCGGUAGAGAGAAGCUUGCUUCUCUUGAGAGCGGCGGACGGGUGAGUAAUGCCUAGGAAUCUGCCUGGUAGUGGGGGAUAAAGUUCGGAAACGAACGCUAAUACCGCAUACGUCCUACGGGAGAAAGCAGGGGACCUUCGGGCCUUGCGCUAUCAGAUGAGCCUAGGUCGGAUUAGCUAGUUGGUGAGGUAAUGGCUCACCAAGGCGACGAUCCGUAACUGGUCUGAGAGGAUGAUCAGUCACACUGGAACUGAGACACGGUCCAGACUCCUACGGGAGGCAGCAGUGGGGAAUAUUGGACAAUGGGCGAAAGCCUGAUCCAGCAAUGCCGCGUGUGUGAAGAAGGUCUUCGGAUUGUAAAGCACUUUAAGUUGGGAGGAAGGGCAUUAACCUAAUACGUUAGUGUUUUGACGUUACCGACAGAAUAAGCACCGGCUAACUCUGUG
rnacentral:rRNA from 1 species